GACGAACGCUGGCGGCGUGCUUAACACAUGCAAGUCGAACGGAAAGGCCCUGCUUUUGUGGGGUGCUCGAGUGGCGAACGGGGGAGUAAAACGUGAGUAACCUGCCCUUGACAUUGGGAUAACUUCAGGGAACUGGGGCUCAUAUCGGAGAUGAGAUCCUGCUCCGUGGGGGGGGUUGGAAAGAUACGGCGGUUGUGGAUGGAAUAGCGGCUUACCAGCUUGUUGGUCUGGUAGUGGAUGACCAAGGCUUUGACGGGUAGCCGGCCUGAGAGGGUGACCGGCCACAUGGCGACUGAGAUAGGGCCCAGACGCCUACGGGCGGCAGCAGUGGAGAACAUUGCAGAAUGGGCGGAAGCCUGAUGCAGCAAUGCCGCGUGCGGGAUGCCCGCCUUCGGGGUGUAAACCGCUGUCUCCUGUGCUGAAGCGUGAGUGACGGUAAUGGGUAAAGAAGCACCGGCUAACUACGUG
rnacentral:rRNA from 1 species